GACGAACGCUGGCGGCGUGCUUAACACAUGCAAGUCGAACGGAAAGGCCCUGCUUUUGUGGGGUGCUCGAGUGGCGAACGGGUGAGUAACACGUGAGUAACCUGCCCUUGACUUUGGGAUAACUUCAGGAAACUGGGGCUAAUACCGGAUAGGAGCUCCUGCUGCAUGGUGGGGGUUGGAAAGUUUCGGCGGUUGGGGAUGGACUCGCGGCUAAUCAGCUUGUUGGUGGGGUAGUGGCUUACCAAGGCUUUGACGGGUAGCCGGCCUGGGAGGGUGACCGGCCACAUUGGGACUGGGAUACGGCCCAGACUCCUACGGGAGGCAGCAGUGGGGAAUAUUGCACAAUGGGCGGAAGCCUGAUGCAGCAACGCCGCGUGCGGGAUGACGGCCUUCGGGUUGUAAACCGCUUUCGCCUGUGACGAAGCGUGAGUGACGGUAAUGGGUAAAGAAGCACCGGCUAACUACGUG
rnacentral:rRNA from 1 species